AAAGUUGUUGCAGUUAAAAAGCUCGUAGUUGAAUUUCAAGGGUUUUUUUCGUAGCUAGCCAUUGUUCCCUUUGCGGUCAAUGUGCAUUUGGCUACAGGCCCUUUUUUUCUGCUAGGAGAUGCGGCUCUUCUGCUUGUCAGCGGGGCUGCAGUUUUCCUAGCACUUUUACUUUGAAAAAAUUAGAGUGUUCAAAGCAGGCUUUUUCUUUGCCUGAAUAUCUUAGCAUGGAAUAAUAGAAUAGGACUUUGGUUCUAUUUUGUUGGUUUCUAGGACUAGAGUAAUGAUUAAUAGGGAUAGUUGGGGGCAUUAGUAUUUAAUUGUCAGAGGUGAAAUUCUUGGAUUUAGGAAAGACUAACUUCUGCGAAAGCAUUUGCCAAGGAUGUUUUCAUUAAUCAAGAACGAAAGUUAAGGGAUCGAAGAUGAUUAGAUACCAUCGUANNNNNNNNNNNNNNNN
rnacentral:ncRNA from 1 species